AUUAUUUUAAGAUUAUUUUUUAUUGUUGAAAAAAUUAAAAAUAAAUUGUUUUUAACAAAAAUUAAAAUUUAUAAUAUUUCAUUUUUUGGUUUUUUGUUUUAAAUUAAAAUAAUAAAUAUGGGGGAAAAAAAAAUUUUGUUAUAAAUUAUAUUAGUUUAUUUUAAUUAAAAAUAUUUUUUAUUAAAUUUGUUUUUUUUAUUUUUUUAUAAAAAAUAUUAAUUUAAUUAUUAUUAUUGAGUUUAAUUUAGUUAUUUUUAAAAAAAUUUUGUAUAAAAUAAAUUUGAUAAUAAAUGUUUUUUAAAUUCUUUGGGGGUUUAGUUUAUGAUUUUUUGUUUCUGCUCAUUGUUAAAUAAAAGCACUUUUAGCGUGAUUGGUCAAAGGAAAA
rnacentral:rRNA from 1 species